rnacentral:rRNA from 1 species
CCGAUGAGGUGGAAACGGACAGAGCUGGCGUAUCUGGCCUGCAUUCAGCCGCUGCGCGUCGGGCCCCGGUUUGCCGCACUCCAGAUUGGGAAGGUGGCUGGGCUGCUGGCGUGCUGGUGGUGCAUUUGCAGGUGGAGUGCGCCGAGGCGCCCGGUUCAGCGGCAUGAGCUCGGCUUUGAGGCCAGUCGCGCAAGCGGUCUGGUACCCGGGUCGGGGGAGUGUUGUUUGGGCUGGGUGUUCGCUGGGGCACAGGUUUCGGGCCCGGGUGGGUGCCGAGCUGGCGGUCGGCGGCGGUCGCGUGCGACACGUGCCAGCAGUCAGUUCGGUCCUGCUUGAGCUCUCUCGUGUCCGGCCUCGGUGUAAAAGCCGGUCAUCUGUCCGACCCGUCUUGAAACACGGACCAAGGAGUUUAGCGUGUGCGCGAGUCAUUGGGUGUUGAAAACCCAGAGGCGUAAUGAAAGUGAAGGUCUGCCUUGUGCAGCUGAUGUGUGAUCCUGGGCGCCGCGGUGCCCGGGCGCAACAUAGUCCCGUCCCGACUGCAUGCAGUGGGGCGGAGACAGAGCGUACGCGCUGAG